rnacentral:rRNA from 1 species
GACGAACGCUGACGGCGUGCUUAACACAUGCAAGUCGAACGGAAAGGCCCUGCUUUUGUGGGGUGCUCGAGUGGCGAACGGGUGAGUAACACGUGAGUAACCUGCCCUUGACUUUGGGAUAACUUUAGGAAACUGGGGCUAAUACCGGAUAGGAGCUCCUGCUGCAUGGUGGGGGUUGGAAAGUUUCGGCGGUUGGGGAUGGACUCGCGGCUUAUCAGCUUGUUGGUGGGGUAGUGGCUUACCAAGGCUUUGACGGGUAGCCGGCCUGAGAGGGUGACCGGCCACAUUGGGACUGAGAUACGGCCCAGACUCCUACGGGAGGCAGCAGUGGGGAAUAUUGCACAAUGGGCGGAAGCCUGAUGCAGCAACGCCGCGUGCGGGAUGACGGCCUUCGGGUUGUAAACCGCUUUCGCCUGUGACGAAGCGUGAGUGACGGUAAUGGGUAAAGAAGCACCGGCUAACUACGUG